AAUUCCUUGUCGGGUAAGUUCCGACCUGCACGAAUGGCGUAACGAUGGGGGCGCUGUCUCUACCCGAGACUCAGUGAAAUUGAAAUCGCCGUGAAGAUGCGGUGUAUCCGCGGCUAGACGGAAAGACCCCGUGAACCUUUACUAUAGCUUCACAGUGAACUUUGAGCAUGUUUGUGUAGGAUAGCUGGGAGGCUUUGAAGUGGGAACGCCAGUUCUCAUGGAGCCAACCUUGAAAUACCAGCCUGACAUGUUUGAGGUUCUAACUUGGACCCCUUAUCGGGGUUGAGGACACUGUGUGGUGGGUAGUUUGACUGGGGCGGUCUCCUCCCAAAGCGUAACGGAGGAGCACAAAGGUGGGCUAAGCAUGGUCGGACAUCAUGCGGUUAGUGUAAUGGCACAAGCCCGCUUAACUGCGAGACAGACACGUCGAGCAGGUACGAAAGUAGGUCAUAGUGAUCCGGUGGUUCUGUAUGGAAGGGCCAUCGCUCAACGGAUAAAAGGUACUCUGGGGAUAACAGGCUGAUACCGCCCAAGAG
rnacentral:rRNA from 1 species